rnacentral:rRNA from 1 species
GAACUCAGGGAACUGAAACAUCUAAGUACCUGAAGGAAGAGAAAGAAAUUCGAUUCCGUAAGUAGCGGCGAGCGAACGCGGAUUAGCCCAAACCAAUAAAGUUUUCUUUAUUGGGGUUGAGGACAUAUCAUAACGAAGAGGUAUCGUAAUUGAAGAGGUUUGGAAAGACCCACCACAGAAGGUAAUAGUCCUGUAUGUUAAACGAGAAGACCUUUAGGUAUGAUCCAGAGUACCACGGGACACGUG